rnacentral:tRNA from 1 species
GUGGUCAUCGUUCAAGAGAAGGAUGCCUGAAUGCCAAUCAGGCGAUGCCGGUGCGAAUCCGGCUGACUGCACCA